rnacentral:rRNA from 1 species
AACGAACGCUGGCGGCAUGCCUAACACAUGCAAGUCGAACGAGACCUUCGGGUCUAGUGGCGCACGGGUGAGUAACGCGUGGGAACCUGCCCUUAGGUUCGGAAUAACUCCCCGAAAGGGGUGCUAAUACCGGAUAAUGUCUUCGGACCAAAGAUUUAUCGCCUUUGGAUGGGCCCGCGUUGGAUUAGCUAGUUGGUAGGGUAAAAGCCUACCAAGGCGACGAUCCAUAGCUGGUCUGAGAGGAUGAUCAGCCACACUGGGACUGAGACACGGCCCAGACUCCUAUGGGAGGCAGCAGUGGGGAAUAUUGGACAAUGGGCGAAAGCCUGAUCCAGCAAUGCCGCGUGAGUGAUGAAGGCCUUAGGGUUGUAAAGCUCUUUUACCCGGGAUGAUAAUGACAGUACCGGGAGAAUAAGCUCCGGCUAACUCCGUG